rnacentral:rRNA from 1 species
UAAUUUGAGAGUUUGAUCCUGGCUCAGGAUGAACGCUGGCGGCGUGCUUAACACAUGCAAGUCGAACGGAGUUAAUAAGCGGAAGUCUUCGGAUGGAAGCUUGUUAACUUAGUGGC